UACGAAGGGCUAGCGUUGCUCGGAAUCACUGGGCGUAAAGCGCACGUAGGCGGCUUUUCUAAGUCAGGGGUGAAAUCCUGGAGCUCAACUCCAGAACUGCCUUUGAUACUGGAGUGCUUUGAGUCCGGGAGAGGUGAGUGGAACUCCGAGUGUAGAGGUGAAAUUCGUAGAUAUUCGGAAGAACACCAGUGGCGAAGGCGGCUCACUGGCCCGGUACUGACGCUGAGGUGCGAAAGCGUGGGGAGCAAACAGG
rnacentral:rRNA from 1 species